AUUGAACGCUGGCGGCAGGCUUAACACAUGCAAGUCGAGCGGAGCGAAGGUGCUUGCACCAAGACUUAGCGGCGGACGGGUGAGUAAUGCUUAGGAAUUUGCCUAUUAGUGGGGGACAACGUUUCGAAAGGAACGCUAAUACCGCAUACGUCCUACGGGAGAAAGCAGGGGAUCUUUGGACCUUGCGCUAAUAGAUGAGCCUAAGUCGGAUUAGCUAGUUGGUGGGGUAAAGGCCUACCAAGGCGACGAUCUGUAGCGGGUUUGAGAGGAUGAUUCGCCACACUGGGAAUGAGACACGGCCCAGACUCCUACGGGAGGCAGCAGUGGGGAAUAUUGGACAAUGGGCGGAAGCCUGAUCCAGCCAUGCCGCGUGUGUGAAGAAGGCCUUCGGGUUGUAAAGCACUUUCAGUCAGGAGGAAGGGGUGAUGGGUAAUAUCCAUCAUCAUUGACGUU
rnacentral:rRNA from 1 species